AGUUACACGUUCUUAUUGGUCUAGAGUCUGACUGUAGACUCCCAAUUGGAUCGUAGGAGUCGACUGAAGACUACCAAUCAGAAGUCAAUAUGUGUGGCAGCAACAGCAGGGACCUGUCACCGGAGUGAAUGACCUGCCGCCGCAGUAACCUACAGUGUUUUUGUGUACUUGACAAGCACAGAUCAGAGGUGACAAACCGACAUAGAAAGGGAGAGAUGGUGAACCAGUGGGUGAAAUACUACCUCACAGAAUAUGCAGAGAGCUUCCCACAAGUCUCCAGUCUCCUUGAGGCCAACAUCGACAGGUGUAUCUACUGUCAGAGAGGGUCUGAGGUUUACACCUUUCAGGAGAUGUGGGAACUCUACAGCCAGUACCACACCCAAAAGGACAGGCCAGAGCAAUUCAGUGAUGAGCAGAGGGUGACAAUACAGAAGGCAUACAGUUCUGUGAGGGGUUGAUUGCACACACCAGUGACCCACAUCACAAGUGUGCAGAUGAAGAGGUUCAAGAAAUAUAUUUAUGACAAGGAGCAAGUAAGUGUUCAUUUGAUCAUGUAUUUGUUAUGGAACAGGAAGAGCAGAAUAGCAUAGUAAAUGAAAAUUGUUCAAAUUACUAAUAUUUUGAGCACUUUGGCUAAAUGUGUUUGUUUGCUUUUGGUCAUUUAAAACCGCUACGUCAUGAAACCCAGAUAGUUACAUUACAUUUGUUGUCCAGCAACCGCAGGCAAGCACCUCCAAGUGUGGUCCUUCAUCAUGGCCAGGUGAUGACGCUGAACUGGUAGCUGCAAGCCAGACUGUGGAAGUCAGACUAGCAGUCAGUCUCUGGAUUCCCAGUGCCGGGGUUUCCGACCCACAGACAAGACCAAGCAGCCCGAGCCCGCUGUCCACCCCAAGCAGCCUGUGUCCACAAGCCAGCCCACAGAGUCCCCGUCCACAACCAAGGGUCAUGAUUAUCCCAUGGAAGCACCUCUGAGUGACUCCCCUGUGGAGCUAGAGGGUUGGGUGCGUCUGUGGGAAAACCCCAGUGGCAUCCCAUCUGCUGACAUUUCAUGGCUCAAAGAGGACACAGAAAGAGGGCUGUUCACCCCUGUUCAAAUCUACAAGGACGACACUGGUCUGUAUAAGAGGUGACGGGUGAUGGAAUCAGACCACAUGUGGUUUUACCCACCAGAACCUCACAGAUGAAUAUUUAUUAAUAUGUACGUCACAUCUGUGAUGUGUCCAGCUGGUACACAGUGCUCACUGAGGUCCUGUGCUGCGGACAUUGUACAAAGGCAGCCAGGAGCUGAGAAGGUGGUACAGUGGGUCGGUGGCUUGCGUGUGAUCCCGCUAUUUUAUCACAACUUAGCGAGGCUCAUCAAGCUAUGUUCCCU